rnacentral:rRNA from 1 species
UCCAGGAGGCAGCAGGCGCGCUAAUUACCCAAUCCCGACUCGGGGAGGUAGUGACAAUAAAUAACAAUGCUGGGCUAUCGUAGUCCGGCAAUUGGAAUGAGAACAAUUUAAUCCCUUAACGAGGAACAAUUGGAGGGCAAGUCUGGUGCCAGCAGCCGCGGUAAUUCCAGCUCCAAUAGCGUAUAUUAAAGUUGUUGCAGUUAAAAAGCUCGUAGUUGGAUUUCGGGGCGGCCCGACUGGUCCGCCGCGAGGUGAGCACUGGUCGGCCGCUCUUCCUCUCGGAAGCCCCGACUGCUCUUCGUUGCAGUGGUCGGGGAGUUCGGGACGUUUACUUUGAAAAAAUUAGAGUGUUCAAGGCAGGCCGUCGCCUGAAUACAUUAGCAUGGAAUAAUGGAAGAGGACCUCGGUCCCGUUUUGUUGGUUUCUUGGACCGAAGUAAUGAUUAAGAGGGACAGUUGGGGGCAUUCGUAUUUAAUUGUCAGAGGUGAAAUUCUCGGAUUUAUGAAAGACGAACGACUGCGAAAGCAUUUGCCAAGGAUGUUUUCAUUAAUCAAGAACGAAAGUUAGGGGUUCGAAGACGAUCAGAUACCGUCGUAGUCCUAACCAUAAACUAUGCCGACUAGGGAUCGGUGGAUGUUAGCGUUGACUCCAUCGGCAC